rnacentral:lncRNA from 1 species
GUGAUCCUAGCUCACUGCAGCCCCCGCCUCCUGGGUUCAAGUGAUUCUCCUGCCUCAGCCUCCAGAGUAGCUUGGACUAUACACACGUGCGCCACCCGCCUUGGCCUCUCAAAGCGCUGGGAUUACAGGUGUGAUCCACCAUGCCUGGCCGACUUUAAGGCUUGAAAGUCAGUAUAUAGGGUGAAAAUUGUGUGUAGCUCGAAUUUUUCUCCUCUCAUAUAUUAUCUAUCUCUUGUUCUCUCUCUCCCAAUAUUCUCGCUCCUAUUCUCUUGUUCUUUUUCCCUCUCCCAACCGCUUGUAUUUACAUUCUCCCAAUCUGAAUACACACAGACUGUGGCUCCUAAGAGAAGAAUGCACUUGGUAAGUUACCCUGAAAUUUACACAUACAGAGGGGAGGGUAAAGAGCUUCGGCAGUCCUUUGGCACCCAGAGGCUCUCUGGGUUGGCUUUUUAAUCCUUUCUCCUUUUCAGGGGUACCUCCUUCUGUUUGGGUCAGGGAAGGGACAUCACAGCAGUUCUGAGCAGGUUCUCAGAGGAUGCUGUCUCUUUCUGUCCUUUGCCAGAGUAGUGAGAGGAUGAGUCAGAAGAAAGGAGUGACCGCCCCCAUAGGGACUCCCCGCCGCGGCAGUGUCGGGGGAAGGGGAAUCUGAACACAGGGCUGUUUAUAACAUGUGUGAGCUCUUUUCAUGUGGAAAUAAAGUUCUCCGGAAGUCAGAGUUUGGGGUUUGCCGGGUCCUUAUAGUUACCAAUGCUUACUUGAGCAAUACUUGGUCUGUUUAAUGCUGUUAAGAAAGAAGGUAUUCACGCCUGUAAUCCCAGCACUUUGGGAGGCCAUGGUGGGCGGAUCAUGAGAUCAGGAGAUCGAGACCAUCCUGGCCAACGUGGUGAAACCCUGUCUCUACUAAAAAUACAAAAAUUAGGUGGGCAUGGUGGUGCAUGCCUAUAAUCCCAGCUACUUGGGAGGCUGAGGCAGCAGCAUCUCUUGAACCCAGGAGGUGGAGGUUGCAGUGAGCCGAGAUCGCACCACUGCACUACAGCCUGGGUGACAGAAUGAGACUCCAUCUCAAAAAAAAAAAAAAAAAAAGGUAUUCUGUAUUAUACAUAAAUAUUAAGAAAACUAAAGCUAAACACACACACACACACACACAC